rnacentral:rRNA from 1 species
AGACUCCUACGGGAGGCAGCAGUGGAGGAAUAUUGGUCAAUGGGCGAGAGCCUGAACCAGCCAAGUAGCGUGCAGGAUGACGGCCCUAUAGGGUUGUAAACUGCUUUUAUAAGGGAAUAAAGUGGGUCUCGUGAGACUUUUUGCAUGUACCUUAUGAAUAAGGACCGGCUAAUUCCGUGC